rnacentral:lncRNA from 1 species
AGUGCGGCCGUCAUGGCGUCGCCCUUCAGCGGGGCGCUGCAGCUGACGGACCUGGAUGACUUCAUCGGGCCGUCUCAGGAGUGCAUCAAGCCUGUCAAAGUGGAAAAAAGGGCGGGAAGUGGCGUGGCCAAGAUUCGCAUUGAAGAUGACGGGAGCUACUUCCAAAUUAACCAAGACGGCGGGACCCGGAGGCUGGAGAAGGCCAAGGUCUCGCUAAACGACUGCCUGGCGUGCAGCGGCUGCAUCACCUCCGCAGAGACCGUGCUUAUCACCCAGCAGAGCCACGAGGAGCUGAAGAAGGUUCUAGAUGCUAACAAGGGGUGCACUUCGUCUUCGACACCGCCUUCUCAAGGCACUUCAGCCUCCUGGAGAGCCAGCGAGAGUUUGUGCGGCGAUUCCGAGGACAGGCCGACUGCAGACAGGCGCUGCCCCUGCUGGCCUCUGCCUGCCCAGGUGUGCUCAUGGUGCGGGUGGUGGGAGAGUCAAGUUCAAGUGCAGUUGAAACGUGAGGUGAUAUGGACACAAAUGACAAGGCGGGGGCAUGGGGGGUGGAGACGCAAGCAGGUUUUGCGGGACGGGUUGGAAAUGUUGGCACAAAUGGCCUUUUCUGGAGAAGAGGCUGCCCUCCCGUGGGAGCCACGCGCAGUCACCUCAGGUCCCUAGGCGGUGUCGCCUGCACGCCGAGCUCCGCGUGGUGGUGGGGAGAACAGGAAUGAGCACUCUUUAAUGUCAUCAUGAUCUCCUGUAUGAGCGGGCCCGCCCCCAGAAUGUCGUGCUGCUGCCUGUGGGUGCGGGGGCCGCCGUGCGCCCCCGCCAGCCCCGUGUGCCCCCUGUCACCUCAGGCUGGAUCUGCUAUGCCGAGAAGACUCACGGCAGCUUCAUCCUCCCCCACAUCAGCACCGCCCGGUCCCCGCAGCAGGUCAUGGGCUCCCUGGUCAAGGACUUCUUCGCCCAGCAGCAGGUAACGGCGUUGGGCCAGCCCCAGACUCAGGCUGGGGAGCGGCCAGAAGUGACUUUGCUGGCCUCUUGCCAUGAGGCUGCAGGAAACAGAGUCCUCGCUGUGCUGUGCGGCCUUCCCCAGCACACCUCCACCCUUGUUCCCUCCUGGUUCAGGCCCUUCCUCUUCUGCAGCAGAGGGCUUCGUUCUGAUCCAGAGGUGCUCACUGCUCACCCAGAGGCAGCCAGGCCUGAGGCUGAGGGAGCAGGAGGCCCUGGGCAGUCCGGGCCUGGAGCCCACCCCUCCGGCCACCAGGUCCACGAGGAUGCCCAGCACGACCCCCACCUGAGGCCCAGCGGGAUAGAAGCCUGAAGACACUCAGCCAGCAGGGGGCGGGAGAGGGCGAGGGCGGCCCCGGUGGUGCCUGGGCCUCGAGCGCCCAUGUCCCCUGCGGCACCUCUUGCCUGACUGCACGCGGAUUUUCACCCGGGGCUGGAGCUGGUUGGUUCCCCCGUGACAUCCGUUUCCCCGGCUGCUGUGCAGUGAGACGG